AGGAGUGAGCAAGGUAUGGCUUCCCUAUUAAGCAGACUUAGACGGGGGGAACUUACUGAGCUUCCUCAAUCACAGCUGCAGGUGGAGGCUGAUGGGGAGGGGCACGGGGGUAUACAAGCAGGGUUUUUGUAUGAGCCUGUGUCACAGUGUUGGGUAUUCGGCGGAGGGACCAGUUUGACCGUCCUAGAUCAGCCCAAGGCAACCCCCACACUCACUGUGUUCCCACCCUCUCCUGAGGAACUGGCAACCAACAAGGCCACACUGGUGUGUCUGAUUAACGACUUCUACCCGAGCGCCGUGACAGUGACCUGGAAGGCAGAUGGCACAACUAUCACCCAGGGCGUGCAUACCACCAACCCCGCCAAACAGAGCAACAACAAGUACGCGGCCAGCAGCUACCUGAGCAUGACUGCCGACCAGUGCCGAAAUCGCAGCGCGUUCACCUGCCAGGUCACGCACGAGGGGAGCACCGUGGAGAAGAGCGUGACCCCUGCAACAUGUUCUUAGGGCCCCACUUCCCAUUGCAUCCCUGGGGCCUAGGGCUAAUGACCCCAGGAAAAGGGUCUCCCUCCAACUCCAGUUAUCCCAGUCCUUCCCCCUGAAUGUAUAAACUUCCAAUAAAUACCCUAGUUUCAAUCAGAAA